rfam:Lacinutrix sp. 5H-3-7-4, complete genome.
GGGGCCGACUGGUUUUGACAGCGAGAUUAAUUAAAUAGUAAGCACGUCGUGUAAUGAUUUUGAAACACGUUAAAGGCUAGAUCAACUUUUUAAACGGCGAGAAUAACUACGCUUUAGCUGCCUAAUCUGAAUUAUAGUAGGAUUAAGCCUCGGCUCACAAGGUGAGCAAGCUUUAUGUCUCCGGAAAGCCUUGAUUGGCGGCGUUCCAUUUUGAGGCAUCGUAAAUGUCAAGAUAGAAUAGGUAGUGCUUUGAUGCUUAUUUGAAACUAAAAAAGAUAAGUUAAAAGUGGGUUGUCUUUAACCAGCUUUUAAUCGAAAACCCAAGAAAAGAAUAAACGUGUAGAAAGCUCUUUGGUUACUUGUUUGGACGAGAGUUCGAUUCUCUCCGGCUCCACAA